rnacentral:lncRNA from 1 species
UUGGCUUCACAGAUUAUAGAGAAUGUUUUUCUUUUAUGUCCGUCAUCAUCUUUGGUAUGCAGACAUUGACUGUAUUUUAAAUAAUUAGCAUUAUUUGUGUAUUUGUUGAUUGAUUAUAAUACAAUAUAUAUUUAUAAAAUAAAUUGCGACGUCUGUCCGCAUAAUUACUAUUUGCACGUAUUUCGAACAGUUAUCGUGUGACGCGAGCUAUCUACCCCACAUAUUAGAGGAUAAAAUAUCCAAAAUGGCGUUUGAGAAGGUGGGGAGGAGUCGCGCAUAGUCAGGAUUCGUAAAAAAAAAACUGACAGAAUUGAAAUUGACAAGAAUUGUGUAAGAAGUGGACUUAAUGUGAAGAAACCAGACUCGGAGAACGUUGAUGAAAAGAGAAAUGAUUUUAACAGAGAAACCAAAGCGAGAACAGGUACAAGAGGUAAGCAAGAAAAAGGACAAGAGCUAAGGUUUUAUGGUUCAUAAGAGAUGAGACUUAAUAAUUUAAUAAUGCAUCUAUAUUUCAGAGAAAUUACAAAUAUAUAAAAAUACAUAUAACUCAUGUAAUGAUGUCACCGUCCAUGAUUAUGAUAUGAGUGAAAUAGAUGAUCAUAUCAUGGAAAAGUACUCCUACAGAAUGAUCCAUGGGCGAGUUUAACCUCCAAAAUUUCUCACCAGAGACUUUGUUCAAGUCGACUGCAUGGCUACCUCUGUCCCACCCGUGUUCCCGCCGUGAAGCAGCUGCGCUCGCAUGGCUCGAAGAAUGGGGUAUGGCAGCGAGAUCACAAGACACGGAGGCACAACACCAUAGUCCUCGAGGGGGGAAGGGAUUGUUAGUAAUGCGGAAUAUCAGCCCCAUUGCUAGCAAUAUACCCGAACAGGUCGACCUCCACGCGGUUCCCCCUGGAAACCAUCGUGAUCAAUCAUUGUUCAAUUGGUCACGAUGGGCCAACUGGCCUGUGCCCAUGGCGCCCCGCCGGCGUACAUCGCUAGCGGAGGCGGGGCCGCCAUGGACACCACCACGCCAUUGUUCGUGGUGGAUUAAAAUGAAAUUCUUAAUAGUUUAGUUAAGAACCCUUUUUUUUUUGUUUAUUGCUGAUUUGUAAAUAUCGCUCGUGGUGUUGGUGGUGGAGCGUCGCUGUGUCGAGUACCAUUUUGUAGCAUGCUGUCUCGAAAUCGUACCUACCGACCGGUUCCCUUACCACCUCACCAAUGUGUAUUUCUAGUAAGAUCGUUUUUUCUACAUACAAUAUUCAUUAUAUUUAGUUUUCCUCAAGCAUACAGCAUGUGUCCAAUAUAACAUGUGUCUAGUUAGAGUAGUUAAAGCAUUUCAUUUAAUAUAGUUUUUUUUUUUCUAUUACUCGCCAUUGGCAUAAUUGUAGCGUAA